rnacentral:misc_RNA from 1 species
UGAACUAUUUUAUUAAAUAAUUAAAAUUAUUAUAUAAAAUAUUAACUAUUUCUUGAAUACCAAAUUUUUUUUUAAUCAUUCUUAAAGAAGUAUUUUAAUAAAUAAAUCUACAUUCUUUGCGCAUUUUAAUGUAUUGUCCAAUGAGAAGCAAAAGAAUAAUGCAUUACAUUCCAUUUUGUUUCGUUCUGCCACCAUAUCGAAUGCAUUCGUAACCGGUUAGCUUUUGCGAACGCCACCUUACUACGCUGUAGAAUUGUGAACGAACCAGCAUUGAUUCUAUUUAUAUCUGCCAUUUUACAAUCGGUAAACUCGACUGCAUCUUUUCAUUCAAAAAUCUAAUUUCCGGAAACAAAUUUAAUUGGAUGUAAAUCCAUCGUGGGACAGUGUCCCUUAAUGAUAGACUGUCAACCGGUUUUAAAUAAUUUUGGUAUAAUCUGUCCACGUCCACAAUCAACGACGAGAAGCUAUAACAAGAAAGAGAUAAAUUUUUUUUCUACCUUACCAUCUCGACUAGUGAGUCAUAAUUACACGGUAAUGACAUUUGUGUCACACGCGGUACACUACAUUUCACCUGCUAAGCGUUUUCUCAAGGUCUCUAUAUUUAUAUGCAUUUUGAAACAAUUUUAUUUAAUGCGUCUACACAUCAUUAAUGGUUGUGUAUUAUACAGCAUUUUUUAGAUAAUAUUUUAAACAUUAUUAUUUUAACUCGGUUCAAUUGGUGGACAGUUUUAUUUACACUGGACCAUUUUUACUCAUCUACUAGCCUUGUCCUUUCUUAAAGAUACAUAAUGCCAUUGUAUCAUUAAUGAAAUAGAAUAAUUUUGAGUUAUAUUUAAUUUUUAAAACGAUUUUUUAAAAUAUUGAACAAAAUUAAAAUAUUGCCAAAAUGAUGGACAUUGAUCCUCCACAAUUUGUGUCCAAAGAUGAUGAAAUUCAAUAUUGGAUGGAACUUGCUCAUCAAAUACAUAGAAGGAAAGAGGAUAUAGAAAGAGAAUUGGAAGAAUUUCAAGAAAAUUCACAAUUGUUAGAGAAAGAACUUGAAGCAUCAUUAGAACAAGCAGAAAAAACUAACAGAGAAUUACGACAACGAAAUACAAGACUAGCUACUGAAGUUGAACAAUUAAGAACAAGAUUAGAUCAACAAACAACAGAUUGUGCAAUGUUUCAAGGAAAAGCUCAGGACUUACAAACACAACAUGAUCAUUUAUUAAAAUACAUAAGAGAAUUAGAACAAAAGAAUGAUGACUUAGAAAGAGCUCAUAGAAUAAAUAGGGUAACAGAAGAGGAAAUAGAAGCUAAACUUAAUUCUGCUAUUGAAAAAAAUGCUUUAUUAGAAUCAGAACUUGAUGAAAAAGAAGCUUUAAAAGUUAUAGUACAAAGACUAAUGGAUGAAAUAAGAGAUUUAAAACAGGAAAUUCAAGUACAAGAAAGGCACCAACCAGAUAAUGAUAAAUCAGCUGACAGAGUUCGGAACCAUGUUGAUAGUAAUAAACUUCAAGUUGAAUUGGAAGCACACAUAUCGCCUAGUAGUCCAAUAGUACCACAAUCUAUAGCUCCAAAUAAUACAACAACUUCACCAUUAAAAAUUGGAAACAAAGUUGUAGGAGGUGUAACUGGAAACAACAAUAACAAUAAUAAUGUGAAUCCACCACUGACACCAUGCACAAGAAUACUAGCAAUGAAUAUGAUUGGUGAUCUUAUGAGGAAAGUUGGUCUUGACAGAUGGGUCUGCAUGGAGUGCAGAAGGGUAAAGUGCACUUGUCUGGGUGAGAAAAAUACAAUUUCCACUACACCUACUGAUUUACCAUCCAUCCAGGUUCAUACAUCUCCUCAUUGUAUAUGGCAACAACCUAGAUCAACCAAGUGCUGAUCAAGUUUUUGUGUACAGGCAUUGGAGAAUAAAUUAAACACAUGUCAAAAUCCAUCUCGAGAGGAUCAAGCUGUCCGUGAUCUUUACAGGACUAGACGCCAAGUUCGAGGUUUUGCCUCUGGCAACUGCAACCACAUUCGAUUAUAAACAACGGAUAAUAUUCCAACAAAAAAUUUUGUGCAUUAUAUUUGUAAGGCUAUACAUGUUAUUUAACCAAAAAAAUCUCAUUUGCUAAUUUAUUAUAAAUCUGUAUGAAAAA